UACGUAGGGGGCUAGCGUUGUCCGGAAUCAUUGGGCGUAAAGAGCGCGUAGGCGGCUAGAUAAGUCCGGUGUGAAAGUCACAGGCUCAACCUGUGAAUGCCGCUGGAAACUGUCUGGCUAGAGUCCGGAAGGGGCGAGUGGAAUUCCUGGUGUGGCGGUGAAAUGCGCAGAUAUCAGGAGGAACACCAAUGGCGAAGGCAGCUCGCUGGGACGGUACUGACGCUGAGGCGCGAAAGCGUGGGGAGCAAACAGG
rnacentral:rRNA from 1 species